CCUACGGGAGACUGCAGUCGAGAAUCAUUCACAAUGGGGGAAACCCUGAUGGUGCGACGCCGCGUGGGGGAAUGAAGGUCUUCGGAUUGUAAACCCCUGUCAUGUGGGAGCAAAUCAAAAAGAUAGUACCACAAGAGGAAGAGACGGCUAACUCUGUGCCAGCAGCAGCGGUAAUACAGAGGUCUAAAGCGUUGUUCGGAAUCACUGGGGGUAAAGGGGGCGUAGGCUGUUUCGUAAGUCGUGUGUGAAAGGCGCGGGCUCAACCCGCGGACGGCACAUGAUACUGGGAGACUAGAGUAAUGGAGGGGGAACCGGAAUUCUCGGUGGAGCAGUGGAAUGCGUAGAUAUCGAGAGGAACACUCGGGGCGAAGGCGGGUUCCUGGACAUUAACUGACGCUGAGGCACGAAGGCCAGGGGAGCGAAAGGGAUUAAAUACCCCAGUAGUC
rnacentral:rRNA from 1 species